rnacentral:rRNA from 1 species
CCUACGGGAGGCAGCAGUGGGGGAUAUUGCACAAUGGGGGAAACCCUGAUGCAGCGACGCCGCGUGGGUGAAGAAGCGCCUCGGCGCGUAAAGCCCUGUCAGCAGGGAAGAAAAUGACGGUACCUGAAGAAGAAGCCCCGGCUAACUACGUGCCAGCAGCCGCGGUAAUACGUAGGGGGCAAGCGUUAUCCGGAUUUACGGGGUGUAAAGGGGGCGCAGACGGCGAUGCAAGCCAGGAGUGAAAGCCCGGGGCCCAACCCCGGGACUGCUCUUGGAACUGCGUGGCUAGAGUGCAGGAGGGGCAGGCGGAAUUCCUGGUGUAGCGGUGAAAUGCGUAGAUAUCAGGAGGAACACCGGUGGCGAAGGCGGCCUGCUGGACUGCAACUGACCUUGAGGCCCGAAAGCGUGGGGAGCAAACAGGAUUAGAUACCCCAGUAGUC